UCGGAAUUACUGGGCUUAAAGGGUGCGUAGGCGGACCUGUAAGUGUCGUGGGAAAGCCCACCGCUCAACGGUGGAACUGCACGGCAAACUGCAGGUCUCGAGGUUGGUAGAGGCGGGUGGAACGAUUGGUGGAGCGGUGGAAUGCGUAGAUAUCAAUCGGAACGCCAAAGGUGAAGACAGCCCGCUGGGCCAAUCCUGACGCUGAGGCACGAAAGCGGGGGGAGCAAACAGG
rnacentral:rRNA from 1 species